CCUACGGGAGGCAGCAGUGGGGAAUAUUGCGCAAUGAGCGAAAGCCUGACGCAGCGACGCCGCGUGAGGGAUGAAGGUCUUCGGAUCGUAAACCUCUGUCAGCAGGGAAGAACGGUCACUGUGCUAAUCAGCAGUGAAUUGACGGUACCUGCAAAGGAAGCACCGGCUAACUACGUGCCAGCAGCCGCGGUAAUACGGAGGUUGCGAGCGUUAAUCGGAAUUACUGGGCGUAAAGCGGUCGUAGGCGGUAUGUUAAGUCAAGGGUUAAAUCCCGGCGCUCAACGUGGGAACGGCCUUUGUAACUGGAAAACAGGAGUGUGUAAGGGGAAAGUGGAAUCCCAGGUGUAGGGGGGAAAUCCGUAGAUAUCUGAAGGAAAAUAAGUGGCGAAGGCGACUAUCGGGCACAUAACU
rnacentral:rRNA from 1 species